UGCUGGUAGUGGUUUUGGGUGCAAUGUUUAGAUCGUUAUUGUGUAAAUCAGGGGGAACUCUGAAAAGGGCAACUUCCAUCAUCAAUGGAGAAUCUUCUUCUUCAACAUUUUUAGCAGCUAAGUAUUUUCUAUUUACAUUUCGAAAUCAAAAGGAUUUUGUAAUUUCAAAAACUAGGGUUACUUCCAUCUUUUGUUCCUUCUCUAGUUGUACUACCAGUAAUAAUCUUACUUGCUCUGAUUCCAAUUCUGCAUUUGUAGUUUCUUAUCUUAUAAAUUCAUGUGGAUUGUCACAAGAUAAAGCUGUUACUGCUUCUAAGAAACUCAAUUUCAAAACUACAUCUAAUCCCGAUUCAGUCUUAACCUUACUCAAAGCAUAUGGAUUCACUGAACUUCAUAUUUCUAAACUAAUCCCUAGACACCCAGCCAUCCUCUCAUCAAAACCAGAUAAAACCCUCAAGCCGAAAUUAGAUUUUUUCAUAUCCAAAGGGCUUUAUGACCUUGACCUAGCCGACUUCAUUACAAAGGAACCAAGGAUCUUGAAUAAGAGGUUUAGUAAAGGAAUAUUCCCUCCCUUCGAUAUCAUUAAGAGCAUUGUGCAGUCUGAUGAAAAUGUCAUUAAAAUUAUUAAUCGAUGUCCUUGGAUUCUCACUGCAUGCCAACUUAAAAGAGUGAUGGUCAAUGUAGAGCGUUUGAGAAAUGAAGGUGUCCCUCAAGCUAAUAUUUCUACGUAUCUAAUCCAUCAGCCAAGAGCAUAUAUGGAAAAUGUCAAUAGAUUCAAAGAGAUUGUAGAGAAGGUUAAAGAAAUGGGUUUUAAUCAUUUACAAACCUCAUUUCUUAAAGCUAUAGAUGGAUUGAUAUCAAUUAGCGAAGCCAAUUGGAGAAAAAAGAUGGAUGUUUACAAGAGAUGGGGUUGGUCUGAGGAUCACUUUCAUUCAGCAUUUAGGAGAUGUCCUUAUUGUAUGAAGUCUUCUGAGAAGAAGAUAACAGCGGUAAUGAAUUUCCUUGUGAAUGAAAUGGGUUAUGAUUCAGCAAGUAUUGCUCAAUACCCAGUAGUUAUUAAUUGUAGCUUGACGGAGAGGAUUAUCCCAAGGUGUUCUGUUAGUAGGAUUUUAGUCUCCAAGGGUCUGAUUAAGAAGAUGAUUUCUAUAAAUGUACUUUCAAAAAUGGUAGACGAGUGUUUUCUGGAGAAGUUUGUUAUGACGUACGAGCAAGAAGUUCCUGAACUAAUGAAGGUAUUCCAAGGUCAGCUUAGUCAUCAAGACCUGCUACAAAAUUGAAGGAUUUGAUGGGAUGAGUUCUGCAUUCUCAAAUUACAGUGUACACUGUCUUUCCCAUUAUUGCUUAUAUCCUGCUUCACUUUCACAUUUUAGCUCUAAUCUUGUUUAUGCUUGUUUCGAAAUUUCUGUUAUGAAUAUCUGGUUGCUGCAUAUGUUUGAAAAUACUGGAGACUACAUAUGUAUCAUGGAAUAGUUGACAGGCUUAUACUAGGAGAUGGAUAUAGUGACGGAGAUAAAGAACACUCAUAAAUUUUAUCGAUGAAAUCAAGGAGUAUUUAUAUGAUUAAGAAUUAGGGCUGCCUUCAAGAAAUCUAUGGUAGUUUUGUUUACUGUGUGGAUCUGGUGAAGUUAGUGCAGCUACAGAAGAGAAUAUCGAGCAAUAUGCCAGCAGGUGCUGCCAGGCUUAAAUACUGCAGUACUGCACAAUGGAUCCCAGAGCUGGUUUUUAGGAGGGUGCAGCUGCAAGAGAUUUGUGUGUGCAGAAGUAAGCCAGUAUUUUUUUUUUUUUAGUAUAACCAAAUGGUUGUUCGUAAGUUGGAAUUUUGUAAACAUGGCCCUAUAGGUAAGAUUCUGAUGUAGUACUAGUAGCAGGAGAAUAUAUGAUGAAAAUGUAGAAAUGUGAAUAAAAGUUGCUUUAGAGUUUAGAUAGCUUCUCCCUUGUCUGACAUUCUGAAGCCCAAGAUAUUUGCUUGGGAUCACUCUUUUUGUUGUGUUUGGCCGAAGAAAAGAAAUAUGUGUGUGAACCAGAUCCACUGAAUGUAUUCUUGUUUCAGAAUA